AGUGAACGCUGGCGGUAGGCCUAACACAUGCAAGUCGAACGGCAGCACAGUAAGAGCUUGCUCUUACGGGUGGCGAGUGGCGGACGGGUGAGGAAUACAUCGGAAUCUACUUUUUCGUGGGGGAUAACGUAGGGAAACUUACGCUAAUACCGCAUACGACCUACGGGUGAAAGCAGGGGAUCUUCGGACCUUGCGCGAUUGAAUGAGCCGAUGUCGGAUUAGCUAGUUGGCGGGGUAAAGGCCCACCAAGGCGACGAUCCGUAGCUGGUCUGAGAGGAUGGUCAGCGACACUGGAACUGGGACACGGUCCAGACUCCUACGGGAGGCAGCAGUGUGGAAUAUUGGACAAUGGGCGCAAGCCUGAUCCAGCCAUACCGCGUGGGUGAAGAAGGCCUUCGGGUUGUAAAGCCCUUUUGUUGGGAAAGAAAAGCAGCAGGUUAAUACCCCGCUGUUCUGACGGUACCCAAAGAAUAAGCACCGGCUAACUUCGUG
rnacentral:rRNA from 1 species